rnacentral:rRNA from 1 species
UACGAAGGGUGCAAGCGUUAAUCGGAAUUACUGGGCGUAAAGCGUGCGUAGGCGGGUUCUUAAGUCUGCUGUGAAAGCCCUGGGCUCAACCUGGGAAUGGCGGUGGAUACUGAGAAGCUGGAGUACGGUAGAGGAAGGUGGAAUUCCCGGUGUAGCGGUGAAAUGCGUAGAGAUCGGGAGGAACAUCAGUGGCGAAGGCGGCCUUCUGGACCAGUACUGACGCUGAGGCACGAAAGCGUGGGGAGCAAACAGG